GGGGUUAACUGUUUUUUCACUUAUUUGAUAUUUCGUUUGUUUUUGAGUUUCUCGUUGCGGUUUCGCAUUAGGGGGAAACUACUAGAGGGUGGUAUCCAUAGCUUCAGAGCUAAGUCGAUUGCUGGCCACCUACGAGUUUUUGCUUUAGGUGAAAUUCUGUGCAUGCUGCAACCGUGAGUUGUUGUCUUGAGGUUUGUUGAUCCAUGGUGAGCAAUAGCUCGAGUAGCACGGCAAUCUUUUGCUGCCGUAAACUUAGGUGGCUCUUUGGGGCGUACAAC
rnacentral:lncRNA from 1 species